UACGAAGGGGGCUAGCGUUGUUCGGAAUCACUGGGCGUAAAGGGCGCGUAGGCGGCUUUGUAAGUCGGGGGUGAAAGCCUGUGGCUCAACCACAGAAUUGCCUUCGAUACUGCAUGGCUUGAGACCGGAAGAGGUAAGUGGAACUGCGAGUGUAGAGGUGAAAUUCGUAGAUAUUCGCAAGAACACCAGUGGCGAAGGCGGCUUACUGGUCCGGUUCUGACGCUGAGGCGCGAAGGCGUGGGGAGCAAACAGG
rnacentral:rRNA from 1 species